ACUUGGUGGUGUGGACAACUCUGAAUGAUAUCAUUAAGUCGCUCCCAUGCUUGGUGAAAUUGUUCGUCUUCUUUUUGAUAAAAACUAGUGAAUUCUUGGUGAAUUU